rfam:Camelus ferus unplaced genomic scaffold scaffold256, whole genome shotgun sequence.
GAGGGUAUAGCUCAGUGGUAGAGUGUGUGCUUAGCAUGCAUGAGGUCCUGGGUUCAAUCCCUAGUACCUCCA